GGAGGAGUUAGAGGAGCAUCGCAGCGCGUAGUUUUAAUACAACCAUGACAGUUUUCACUUCCGAGGCAUUUUCUGUCAAGAUAAUACCCAUUAGUACUGCUGAGAAAUACAGAAAGCUGCCUUUGUGGGAGCAUGCUGGAUUUUUUUCCGCUCCUUCA